UGGCUUGGGAGGGUAUGGGACAGGAAGGAGAGUACAAAGGUCACCUCAACACUCUGUCUCUGCUUCGUACCGUCAGGCACCCUGGUCAGGAAAGGUUGGGAGGGUUUGCGACAUCCAAAAGGAGUCCGUACCUAUGUCAGCCUUGUGAGGGUAUGACAAGGUCUCUGGGUCCCCUGGUAUGGUGGGGGUGAGCUGUUUUCUUUGAAGGGUUUCUUUGUCUUUGGUUCUUAGUUGAUCUUGGGUUGGUGAGAUCGGGUUGUCCUGUGUGGUCGGAGUAGGAGAGGGCCUAUUAUGCCCUUCGUAGAAGCCUGAACAGGGGUCUCUGUGUGAGGUGAAGUCGGCGUUCCAAUGAUGAGACUGGGCUGCUGGUCAACGAUUUUUAUCUGCUGGCCCUUCUGUGCGUUUCUUCUUUUAAUUGUUUAUGGGAGGUUUGGUGUCUAGAGGGUCCUGGAGUCCCACGGUGUGGGAUUAGCUGUGGGUCUAGUGGUCAACUGGGGGAUUCAUCCUGUGGUUCUGUCCAGCAAUCCCAUGUUUAGAUGGUGUUGACUGGGAAGAGAGUAUGGGGGUAGGUGGUAACAGAGUUAUAACCUGUUCCUGCUGAUUAUCAUUCCAUACCACCCAGGUCUGGGUAUGGGAUGGAGAUGAAAAUGCAGAGGCCACCUUAACACUCUGCCUCUGCUCCGUUCCCUCAAUCACCCUGGUCAGGGUAUGAUGUGGGGGAAGGUUAG